GGUCUUCAAACGAAGAUUCAAGAAACACUGUCAUCAUUCCUAAAUGUAAAAGAAAGGAAAAUUUCAACAAAAUAUUUCACACCUCACAGGCAAAAGCUGAUGGAACUGGGGGAGAAUUGACUGCAGCUGAUGUGUCAAAGAUCGAUGGAUUGUAUAAUGAAGCUAAGGAGUAUACAGACAGCUGGAGUAUGAUCUAGAAAGCACACUGAAAAUUAGAGAAGGAAAUAUGAAGGAUUUGAUUUGUUGGAAAUAUUUAAUCUCAGUCGGGCAUUGGAGGCACUAACAGAAGGUUUUAGAGUUUCUGAGGCAAGAGAUGAAAGUUUUGACCACUGGAAUGAAGCAUCCUGUGUUGGAUGGGCUCGCAAGAAAUGCAUUUUCAUGAUUUGGAAGAGUGGAGAACAUUCUAUCCUGUGCGGAGAGAGAUUGAUAACGACAGGCAAACUACAUUGGUAGAGCGAGUGACGCCGCUCUGAGCUCCGGCUCUUUAGUUUAACAUUUUGCCCACUUCCUUGAUGAGCUUUUACAUUAAAUGUGGAUUCUAAAUGAAGGAAAAUAUAUUUAAUAUUGCUACUUUCAAUGUUAGAGGAUUAGGCGACAAAUUCAAGAGACAUCAACUAGCAACAUAUAUAACAAAUUAUAAGGUGGACGUAGGCUGCCUUCAAGAAACUAAACUCACGGAGACGAUUGACGAAUACGUACACGAAUGCCGAUCCAUCAAUCUAGGCACUAAGGUUAAGUAUUAUGGAUGUGGCUUCAUUAUUCACAAGCGAUGGGCACCAAGUAUUUCUAAAUUUUGGAAAGUUUCAGACCGAAUAUCAGUUUUACAACUUAAAACGAAGGAGAACAAGUUUAUUACUUUAAUUAAUGUCUAUGCACCCACCAUUAACCGGGCAGAAAAAUACCCGGCCGAACGUGAACGUAUGUACAAGGAAUUAGAUUAACUCAUAGAAAUCUAGGUUAUGUGGAUGAUAAGCACUUAUAUCUUAUUGCCAAAGACAUGAGACUGGAAGGCGAACAACUAGGCCGCAGCCUGGGUCUCAGUUGGAGCAAGAUACAACAAAUAUGGAGUGAUAACAGACGAUUGCUGGAAUGCAUAAUGGAAAUGCUGACAGAAUGGAGAAAACAACAGGACUAUGAGACAAAUCAAGUUGAGAUAAUGUGCAUUGCUUUAAAAGAGCAGGCACUCACCGAGCUUGCUAACAAGGUCUUUGGCUCACAAACAUCAGAGGAUCAAUCAUCCCAUGUACAAGCAAGUACAGAUCAUCCUUGUGGAAGAUUACAUUGAAUGAACCAGCAACAUGAUGGUUGCUUGGCUGAUACUGACCUUAAGUUCAUUGCUGGAAGACUUGACAAUGACUGGAAACAUUUAAGCACCUACCUUCAAAUGAAGAGCUAUGAAUAAAUCAAAUUGCAAGAAUAUUUUCAGGACACAUGCUUUGGAGACCAAAAUGACAUUACAUCAUGACUAUAUAUGGGCACAUCAUGACUAUAUAUGGGCUCAUCAUGACUAUAUAAUAUGGGCACAUCAUGA
rnacentral:misc_RNA from 1 species